UUCACUCACUCCGAUUAGAUACUUUGCAAAACCCUAACGUUUAUGGUUCUUCUGUGUUUAUCAGAUCAUAGUGUGUUAAUUAAUUGUUUGCUUUGAUAAUUAAACUUGUAUCUAAGCGAUUUCUCUCAAUAUUGAUUCACUGAAAGAGAUUAUUGAAGCAUUAGGACCUAAUUGUAGCAUUGGUUCUUGAAUUAAAUAUUCAAUAAAACUGGUAUCCGAAUUUGACAAAACGUGGAGCCUCAGUCCUUCAUGCCAACUUUGUUAGAAUUUUUCAUCCGUGUGUGUCAAUGUGCUUAAUUUUGCCACGAAUCGAAAUCAAGGAUCAAUGCUCUACAUCAUACCAAUUUUGAUGGAUUCUUAUUAUUAUUUAGGAUCAAAAGCUACAGUUCGGUCAUAGUUUAAGAAUCAAUAAUCCAAUUUACUCUCACUGAAAUUGUUGCGAUUGCAAAAUUACCAAUGUGUAAUUGGGCGAAUGAAAAGACGAUCACUGGACUAGAGUGGAAGUGUUGUUAAUUUUCUGUUCUAUUCUUAUUUCAGCUUGAUCUCCACAAAGCACUGAAGAUGUUCAUGAAUCCGUUUCAAGGGUCUUGUACUUGUACACACCACUUUUCACCUGUCGGGUACUGGGGUCCGACUAACUUAAUUUUCAUCUGGUAUCAGCAACUCCUUUAUUGCAUCGGAAUAAUAUUGAAGCGGAGAAAUUGAAUUCAAUAUCAGAAAUCCCAGAAUGUAAAGACAAAAGUCAUGAAGAACUCCGUUCGGAGGAUAAAGCUAAUGGACAAUCAUCUAGAAGGCCAAGUCUGUUCCCAUCGGCCUUUGAGCGUGAGCGGAACAACAACUAUGCUUCUGUUCCCAAUCUCUGCAGGUGCGGUCAGAAUUGUGUAUUUGGCACAGAACCUCUCUCCACAACAACUGGUGCUUCAUCCGCGCAAACUUUUAAAAAUACAAAGCCUCCUUCGGAGCAUCUUCUACACCUAGCUCAUCAUCAUCAAUUAUUGGUUUCUGGUUGUCUGUUCCCUUUGGUUUGCCAUGUAUCCCGACCUUUGACAUUGCUAGCACACCAGCUUUUGGUACUACAAGCUUUGCGCUCUUUGGUUUGACAACAAGUCCUACGUUUGGAAGCACAGGAGCUGCAUUUGGAUUUGGGAUAUCUAGUGGAGCGUUGGUUUCAUGCACCGCGGCUUUGGGUUCAUCUAGCUCUAUCUUUGGUACUUCAAGCCACCCCAAUUUUGAUGCUUCAAGUGGUCCUCGUUUUGAUCAACCCUUCAUCAACUCAUGCGUCAUCAAUUGCUGGUUAGCCGGUGGACUAAAUUGAAUUUCUCCACUUUCUGUCCACUACAAAUCAACUGUUUCAGAUUGAGGUUUCUGUUUGUCUGUUACAUCUGGCUCAACCUGCAUCCCAGCUUUUAGUGCUUCCAGCACACCGCCUUCAGGCGGUGGAGCCACUCUACCAAUUUUUGGGGGCCAACAACGCGGGGAUGAAGUGGUCCAGCUCCUGCUGUUGGGAGUGGCCUUGGCACUACUACCUCACAGCCAAACCCCUUUGAAUCCUGCACAGACAUUUUCUCAUGCAUCAAGUCCUUUUAAUGCCACAAUGUUUACUCCAAAAGCUCCAUCCUUCACUAAUACAGGUUUUACAACAACGUCUACGCCAUUCAGUUCAUCGAGUUUUGCGAUUUCUUGUACUUCAACCAGGUCCUUUUACACUGUCACAAACCUCAUCUCUGACUCUCUUUAGUUCGUCAAGCUCUGCAUAUUCAUUUCUGCUCCAGCUAAAUCAAACUCCUAUCCUUCACAAACCUUGUCACCGUGUCUCUUUUGGUGGUGCUUUUACCACUCCAUUUUCUCAGCCAUUCAGUAACCCUCCUACUGGCUUUGCUUUGGGGAUCCCCACUGCUGCUGGUGCUACAAGCAGCCUAAUGGGUUUUAGUCAAGGAGCUCCAAUUUGUUGUUCUGCACCUUUCCCAUCUCAGCCACUUUUCGGGUUGAAACAAGACUCCUGUGUGCUACUACCGAACAAACUGCGAUCUCUGCUGGUGGGUCUACAACUCCCUUUCCCCAAAGAGGGCUCUUCAUCUUCUUUUUCGUUGUCACAAGCGCCCAGGCGAAACAAGGAGGAUUGAAUUCGAAGAAGAAAGACGCAUUUCGUUUUCAUACCUCCUACAAGUAGCAUUACUUUGGUGUUUCUUGUUUGAUGGAUUGAUGUAGCAAGUUUUGAAACGUGACCAAAUCCCAAAUUUUGCAGUUCUUUUUUCUCAGUACAACUCCUUUU